rnacentral:rRNA from 3 species
UGCAGAAUCCCGUGAACCAUCGAGUCUUUGAACGCAAGUUGCGCCUGAAGCCAUUAGGCUAAGGGCACGUCUGCCUGGGCGUCACGC